GUGAGGGAUAGAACUGAUCAAACACGCUCUUCCUCUUCUGUGGGUUCAGAGGGACAGGAAAGAGGUUGUGUUUCUGUGCAGCGGGUGGAGGCUCUGAUGGGCACGUAGCCGGCCCGAAGGGGCCAGAGGGUCAGAGCUAGUGAUGCGGUGGGGCGUGGGCUGGGCUCCCCGGGUGACAGAGGAGCCGAGCCCGAGGGAGGGGUGAGGUCCAGGGGUGGCUGGAGGAGGAACAACCAGGCGGAGUCACUGGUGGGAAAGGGCUCCCGCUCCCAGGAGGUACACUCAGGACCGGGCAGAGGGUGUGGGCCGGGGAGCGCCCAAGGUGAGGCAGGCGGGCUGGAAGGAUUGAGCAGGGCUGGACUGGAAAGAACCUGGAGGCCGUUCUGAGGAAUUGGGGUUUUAUCUGUCAGUCAUGGUGCUGUGGUGUCGGAAAAGACUCUUGAGAGUCCUUGAACUGCAAGGCAAUCACCCAGAUAAUCCUGAAGGAAGUAAAUCCUGAAUAUUCAUUGGAAGGACUGAGGCUGAAGCUGAAGCUCUAAUACUUUAGUCACCUGAUGUGAAGAGUUGACUCAUUGGAAAAGACCCUGAUGCUGGGAAAGAUUGCAGGCAGGAGAAGAAGGGGACGACAGAGGAUGAGAUGGUUGGAUUCAUCAUUGACUCAAUGGACAUGAGUUUGAGCAAGCUCCAGGAGCAGGGAAGCCUAGCGUGCUGCAGACCACGGAGUUGUAAAGAGUCAGACACGACUGAGGGACUGAACAAGAACAUUGGGAACCACUAAUUCCACGGACAGAGGAACCUGGCUGGCUACGGUGCCUGGGGUCACAAAGAGUCAGACACGACUGAGCAACUUCCACUUUCACAAGAGCAAAGCAAAGUAACCCUGCUUUUUCUAGCUUGAGACACUCACUUUCUCUGGAAUCACCUGGGUGACUCAUGUCACAAGAAGUGAAGAGCAAGAUGAGCCAGGGCCCGCUGUCCAGGAUGGGGCCCGCCACCGGGCAGCGUCACGGAAGGGAGCUGGGUGAAUCUUCGUGAGGAGCUCCAAGAACUGCCUCCUCAAAUGCCAAGAGAGACCUAGUGGUUUGAUCAGAGCAGCCCUCACCGGGCCCUGCGGCAACGAAUCUGCCAAAACUAAACAAACAAAAGCUGUGGCAAGCAGGGCUCAGCUGUUACGAGGCCAAUUUCCGCCAAGACCGCCCAGAUGCUGCCACCCCAGCAGGUGGUGCCCUGGGGGACGGGGCCUGAAAUGGGACCUGCUCUGUAGGGCGUGGGCUUGGAGGUUCAGGGGGGUGCCUUCUUGGCCAGGCCUAGUGCUCCGGGAGCGGGAUGGCCUUGAAGACUUGCUGGGUUUCCCACAAAGGGCAGGAGGUUACAUUCCAAAAUGCAAGCUUGCGUCUGUUGACCUGAAGCAAACAGACCGCAGGUGUUUCUGCAGCAAAGUUGGGUUUAUUCAAUUCGGGAUCAGCAGGGAAUUGCACUUAAGGCUCUCUGCCGUGGCGGCCACAUGCAAGACCGCACCCGGCAAGGGAAGGAGCAGCUUUCAUAGAGGGGACACGGGCCGGGCCGGCUGGGUAAACAGAGCCUGGGCUUCUCACGGCGGAGUCCUGGCGGGGAGGAAGGGGACUCUCCCUUCCACGGUGGGGCUCCGCUGUGGCUGCAGGGCGAGAGCGCCCCCUGCUGGACCCCUGUCUGUCUACCCAGGGUUUCCAUUCAUUAAAGUUUCACCGGCGUCCGGACGGAAGCCAAAAGGGACA
ensembl:lncRNA